UCCAAAGUCCCAAUGAGCAAUAGUUGUUACAAUCAGCUUGAUAGAGAAGUCUUGCCUCAGGGUACAAAUAGUACCAAUAGAUCAAGUCCGUACGAUAAGACCCAACUAGGAAUCACACCAAUCGUUGUACAACGCUUAUCGCGACAACAAGCUAUAAAAGCCUAGGAAGUCUGACCGGAAUUACAACUUAAUCCUCGUAUUCUUAGGUAUCACGCGUGUGUAUGCUUUGAAAAUACAAAAGUUUUGCGACCGAAACUAGUUUCUGGCUUGCCGGGGUGGCAAGGUCUAAACCUCUUUUCCAAAAGCACUGAAAUGAGUUCUGCAAGGUUAUAAUCUUUUCGGGUCUUUUGCUUGAUAAAUGCAUUCCGAUAAGGCGGUGACAGGAGGUGGCAUCUACGUCGACUUGAAGGCAACCCUAAGACCAAUGGGAUGACUAACAGAUUUAAAUUAUGUUUCUUGGCUGCGCUAAGUAUUUUCCUAGGCGAGAAGUUCAUGGUCUGCUGCCGACCCAACCUCCG
rnacentral:lncRNA from 1 species